rnacentral:rRNA from 1 species
ACGGGAGGCAGCAGUGGGGAAUAUUGGACAAUGGGGGAAACCCUGAUCCAGCGACGCCGCGUGAGUGAAGAAGUAUUUCGGUAUGUAAAGCUCUAUCAGCAAGGAAGAAAAUGACGGUACUUGACUAAGAAGCUCCGGCUAAAUACGUGCCAGCAGCCGCGGUAAUACGUAUGGAGCAAGCGUUAUCCGGAUUUACUGGGUGUAAAGGGUGCGUAGGUGGCAUGGCAAGUCUGAAGUGAAAUGCGGGGGCUCAACCCCUGAACUGCUUUGGAAACUGUCAAGCUUGAGUACAGGAGAGGAAAGCGGAAUUCCUAGUGUAGCGGUGAAAUGCGUAGAUAUUAGGAGGAACACCAGUGGCGAAGGCGGCUUUCUGGACUGUAACUGACACUGAGGCACGAAAGCGUGGGGGGCAAACAGGAUUAGAUACCCUGGUA